rnacentral:rRNA from 1 species
CAGUAGCCGCGGUAAUUCGUAGGUCCCGAGCGUUGUCCGGAUUUAUUGGGCGUAAAGCGAGCGCAGGCGGUUAGAUAAGUCUGAAGUUAAAGGCUGUGGCUUAACCAUAGUACGCUUUGGAAACUGUUUAACUUGAGUGCAGAAGGGGAGAGUGGAAUUCCAUGUGUAGCGGUGAAAUGCGUAGAUAUAUGGAGGAACACCGGUGGCGAAAGCGGCUCUCUGGUCUGUACUGACGCUGAGGCUCGAAAGCGUGGGGAGCGAACAGGAUUAGAUACCCGUGUAGUCCCUGUCUCUUAUACAC